CUUUUUUUUUUCUUUUUCUUUUUUUUUUUUUGAGAUGGAGUCUCGCUGUGUCUCCCAGGCUGGAGUGCAGUGGCGUGAUCUCGGCUCACUGCAAGCUCCGCCUCCUGGGUUCACGCCAUUCUCCCGCCUCAGCCUCCCAAGUAGCUGAGACUACAGGCACCCGCCACCACGCCCGGCUAGUUUUUUGUAUUUUUAGUAGAGACGGGGUUUCACCGUGUUAGCCAGGAUAGUCUCGAUCUCCUGACCUCGUGAUCCACCCGUCUCGGCCUCCCAAAGUGCUGGGAUUACAGGCUUGAGCCACCGCGCCCGGCCUGGUUUUUGUUUCUUUUGGUGUGGUUUUUUUUUCCUUUUUUUCUCUUUCUUAUUUUUUUUUUAUUUUCUUUUUCUUUCUUUCUUUCUUUCUUUCUUUCUUUCUUUCUUUUUCUUUCUCUUUCUUUCUUUCUUUCCUCCUCCUCCUCCUUCUUCUUCGUGUGGUUUUAUUUUGUUUGUUUGUUUGUUUGUUUGUUUUGUAGGGACGAGGUCUUCUGAUGUUACCCAGGUUGGUCUCAAACUCCUGGGCUCGAGCAAUCUUCCCGCCUCAGCCUCCCAGAGUGCGGGAUUACAGGCGUGAGCCACCACUUUUAGCCAAAGAGUGUAUUUUGCAUGCUAAUGAGAUGACUGGUAGGUGGGGCUCCUAGAUAGGCUCUUGUUGGGGAUUCGUUGUCAGGGGAACCAACUAGAUGACGAAGGGGUUGCACCUCUCAGCCCCAUCCCUAGACCUGCAGGGAAGGGAGAAAGGCGGAAGGUUAAGUUGAUCACCAAUGGUCAAUAAUUGAAUCAAUCUUGCCUGUGUCAUGAAACCUCCAUAAAGGACACGGUUCCAAUGAGCUUUCAAAUGACUGAAUGUAUGGAGGUUCCUGGAGAGGGUGUGGAAGCUCUGUGCCCCUUACCCCAUACCUCACCCUAUGCAUCUCUUCAUCUAUAUCCUUUAUUAUAAACCAUCAAUGUAAAUGUGUCCCUGAGUUCUGUGAGCCCUCCUAGCAAGUGAAUCAACCCGAGGAGAGGGUCAUGGGAACCCUGGUUUGUAGCCAGUCAGAAAGUUUGGGGUGGCACGGACUUGUAAUUGGCAUCUGAAGUGGAGGCAGUUUUAGUGGGGCUGAUCCUUCCACCUGUGGGAACUGACACUAUCUCCAGGUAUGUAGUGUCAUAAUUUAAUUAGAGGACGCCUAGCUGGUAUGCACUGGAGAAUCUACUGGAGGUUUGCUUGGUGGGCUGGUGGGAAGAAAUCCACACACAUUUUGGUGAGCAGGUGUGUUAUGUCUUAUUGAGUGGUCUCAACACAGUCUCACAUUCUCACUGGCCAGAACCAAAUGGCAUGGCCACCCUAGUCAUCGGGGUGUCUGGGAAAACAAGUGUUUCUCUUCCCAGACUUUAGAAUAGAGAAAGGCAAUGAGAAAAGAGUUGAAAUGGGUGUUGAGUGAGCCAAGCUGCAAAAAAUACCCCACAAACUAACAUCCGCCUCACAAGCUAAAUGUCACCUGCAGGGAACUGGUUAAAUAAACCAGAGAAUAUCCAGUGCAUGUUGUCCCUUAUUGUAUGGUGUGGUUAAUCUAUGAAAAGCUGUUCACUGUAUAUAUAGCAAAAAGGGCAGAUUAUAAAACAAUAUGUCCUGCAGGAUCCCAUUUUGUUAAAGAGACGUGUAUACUAUUCAUUCACAGAAAAGCCUGGAUAUACACGACAAUGUUCACUCUGGAUCUUCUUUAAACACUUCCACAUUCUAUGAUGUAUUUUUGGCAGGCAAUCACGGCUUUGUUUUAGAAUAAAGAGCAGAAAGUAAAUUUCCAUUUUUAGAUUCCCAUUGGGCCAGAAACAGGAGAUAAACUAGUCAGUUAAAAUCAACCUGAUGAUGACUUCUGCCCCCCAAGUGACCUCUAAAUGUUAGCUGUAAAACUUUCUGGGUUGAGUCAAAGCCAAGUUUAAAGGGAAAACCAUAAAUAAGCCAUUUUGGAAAAUACAGCUAUUGGCAAUCUGUUACAUUUCACUUGUAUUUCUAAGAGGACAAACUCCAGCACAUCCCCAGUUGCCUGACUAAAGCUCACUUGGUAAAACAAAGUGAUAAUUAUCUCAGGAACAGCCUCAGCACACAAUCAUGUAGAACCU
ensembl:lncRNA